GCUGUAAAAUAAUGAACUUAAAGAACCAUCUAUGUGACCAUCAUGAAUCGUUUUAGCUGAAAAUAUCUCUUAGAACGGACUGGUUGUGAUAAUCCGGGAAAAGGCACUACAUGUAAAUACCAAAUCAAGUGAAUAAAGAGCGUUAUGAAGAAUGACAUCGAAGUCGAGCUGCGUAUUGUGCGAAUAUCAUAGCUUGAUAAGAAAACUAUAGGGUUAGGCGAAAAGGACUGCAUUUCUCUGAAUAGAAUAAGCGAUUCGCAAGGGGAUAUUUAUGUUUUCGAAAGUGGCCAAGUUCUUUUUGAAUAUUUUCGAAAGAACUUCUUACCUGGGCGAAUUUUUUUACUGAAGCGUAAACUGGAACCUGAAAUACCAAAAGUUGUCAUUCGUUCGGACAAGAACUUUGAUUUUAAAACAGAUUGUUUAUUUUGUGAAAAUGUUGUAGAGUUGAAUACUCAGCACCCAUCUGAAGGUUCUAAGCGGCACUCUGUGAAAACAACUAGUUUCCAGUAUUAUAAAACAAGCGAAAGAGAAGAUGAAUGGGGUAAAGUUGUGCUCGCCAGAAUUGAAUACUCGAGAGAUCUUUUUGCCUCAGAUGAAACAUAUCAACAGGACUGUAGUGUUAAAUUCCGGACAAAAGAUGAAGAUAUAUUUACGCCUACGCCAGCAAAAAGAAAAAAGGAAGAAAAGUGUCAGAAGACAGAGAAGCGGCUUUCCUUGAAGUAGUAAAGGAAAUCGAACAUAAUACAAAUAGGCCCUAUACCAUUGAAGAACUUGUGAAAAUGAUGAAAUACAAUUUACGUGAAAAUGCCGAUUCUGAACCUUAUUCGAGUAAGCACAUGAAACGUCGUCUUAUAGAACAUCUUGGAUCAAGAAUAUAUAUUACUGAAACAUGUGGUAAAUAAAAUUUAAUCACAUUAAAACUUGAGGUGUCGAAACAUGUGGAAAACUUCUAUGAAGAAAGCAAAAAUGACAAUGACGAUGAAAAAAAGACAAAACUCAUCAAAACUGCUGCAAAAUUAAUACAAAAUGACAUUGCUUUGAUUCCAAAUAAGAAAGAAAAUUAACCUACAAGUGUAGACGUAGAAAGCAAAGACGCAUGAUUUGAUUUUCUGCCUGAUUCAUUGAAUAUUGUUUUGGGAAUUUUGAUUCCGUGGAAAGAUUCUGAUUUGAAAAAGCUGCGAUCGGCCAAACUCUGGUUCAGGCAGCAAGACCGAUACCAAUAUUAGCUCCUUUGCAAUUCGGGCUAGAUGUACAGUUACAUCAAAUGUUUGGAUCGAAAAUGCUGGUUUGUUAAAUGAAUUGGGGUUUAGUAUGCCCUAUUUUGAAACGCAAAGGUUUGAGAAGUCUGCAUCAAUGAUUCAAGACUUUAACAUUCCAGACUCUCAAGACAAUUCAUGGCCGAUAACGUUGAUCAUAAUGUUAGAACAAUUGAUGGGCUAAACACUUUACAUGGAAUGGGGAUGAUGAUGGC